CGCCGCCGGAGCGUCGCCGGAGCAUCGCCGGAGUGUGGACUGUUCGGUGGACGAAAAAGAGGGGUUUUCCGAGUUGUUAGUCCCACCCACACAUUUUUCUUCCUGUGUGUUCGAACCGGCACACGUUGUGUUCAUUGAAGGCAAUUUGCGUGUAUUGGAGAAGUACUUAACUACUAAGACGGGGAACCAAGGAAAAGAUACAAAAGCAGGAGGCUAAAGGAGUAAGGAAGGCACCUCGCGCCUGGGCGUGACAAAGGGGCGCCGGGCGCGACAUUCCAGAGAGUCUCGCGCCCGGGCGUGACAAUGGGGCGCCGGGCGCAACUUUUCAGAGAGUCUCGCGCCCGGGCGUGACAAAGGGACGCUCGCUGGCCCAGGAGAACGAACGCUCGUCCAUGGUACGCCAAAUCUGAGCGUUCGUCCGAAUGGGGCUCGACCAUAUAGUGGUCGGCCAAUUUCGAACGUUCGGUCUUGUAUUCUGAGUGUUCGUCCGUAUUGACCUCGAUCAAAGAGUGGUCGGCCAAAGUGAGCGUUCGGUAUUGUACUGGUAACGAGGGUUAACGUUUGUUCUUGGUGGGUAAGUGAUUUUAGCGUUCGGUUUAAAUGAGAUAUUCUCGGCUUGUGACCGUUCGUUCUUAAUUAGGAUUAUUAGGUUUGGAUCACAGGCGUUCGGUCUUAGCUAUUAGUGAUUGUAGACGUUCGUACUUAAAUUGGUAUUCUCAGGAAGAGAUCUUGAACGUUCGGCCUUGAUGAGAUUUAAUCUUGUUCGCUGUCUUAGCGUUAAGUCUAAGUGCUUGAUUUUAGCGUUCGUUCUUUUGGUGUUCGACCUAAUGGUAUCCGGUCAAAUAGCGUUCGUGCUAAAUUGUGAUUUUAAGGAAGUGAUCUUGAGCGUUCGUUUUAAUAAUUCGUGAUUGUAGUCGUUCGUCCUGAAGUUGGUAUUCUAAGUUUGAAUCUUAAAACGUUCGGUCUUGGUGUAUUAGCGAGCAUAAGCGUUCGUUCUUGAUUGGUAUUCUCUAGUAGCAAUGUUGAGCGUUCGAUCUUCAUUUGAUAGUCUUAAGUUUGGAUCUGGAGCGUUCGGUCUUGAUAUUUGUUAGUAAUCAUUAGCGUUCGACCUGGAUCGGGUAUUCUGAGGUUUAGUUGGUAAGCGUUCGAUUUGGGUGUAUCAGUUAUAGUUAGCGUUCGAUCUUGACCAGGUAUUCUCAGGCUUCGAUAUUAAGCGUUCGGUAUGAAUGAUAGAUAGUGUUCGGUUUACGGAUGCUUAUUCCCAGUUAGUGAACGUUCGGUUUCGACGAUGUCUGCCAGUGCUCAUAAUAAGUAGCGUUCGGUCUUGAUAAGAUUUGAUCUUUGAGUGUUCGUCCAAACAGUUCAUUUUAAGUGUUCAACCUUAGCGUUCGUUCAAAUAGUGUUCGGCUAAAUAGUAUUCGGUUUAACAACGUUUGGUGUUUUAGUGUUAAGCCUAAGAGAUUGAUCUGAACGUUCGUCCAGGCAGUAUUCAAUUUGAGUAACGCGUAAAUAUAUCUCAAUUGUAAGCUUAUUUGCAAUAGAGGUGAUUAACUUCCUGGAAUUCCAAAAUCUAUUCUAAGGGAUCCUGACAGCUUAUUUGCAAGUUUAUUUUGGUAAGAGUUGUUGAAGCUGCGAGGAAUAGAUUUAAAGAUGUAUUCACCCUAUUACAAUUAAAUGGAUAGCCAAUCUGGUUUUUACCACUGACUUUGGGUGGAAUUUUAUUACAACACCAAAUUUCAUGAAACCACAUGUGCUACCCCAUUUCAAGAGGCAAAUGAAAAUGUUAAGAAGUAGACUUUAAACCUUAAUCAACCCCACAAAACCGGUUUUUAAGAUGAGGUUUACACCUACUUAUAUACAUCUCAUGCGUGGAACUAAAUAUUAAUGUGUGGUCUGAUAGUGGCUUGAUAGCAGGUAGAAUGAUAUGCCUAACAAAGACAAAUCUCGCUAGGAUAGACUCUAACUCAUGGCUCUACUACUAUAUUAAGGAGUGGACUUUAAACCCUAAUUCAACCCCACAAAACCAGCUUAUAAAGUGAGAUUUACACCCACUUAUAUACUUUAAAUUGGCCUUAUCUCUAGUCAAUGUGGAACUUCCAACAGGAAGAAAGCCUCACAUUCCAUUCAGUGGCUUGUUAGUUAAAGGAACAAGAUUAGGCACUAAAACAGCUCAAACAUCAUUUAUACAAGACUCAAAAACAGAUGAAACAUUGUACCAUGAGAAGCAUAAGGAACAGAAUUAGUGGAGAGUAAGUUUUCUUCAACCUUGGGCUGCACAGACAGCUAUGCUUGCACCACGCUUUUAUGGUUAUUUUCAGAUAUUGAACUAGCACGGAGAGGUGUCUUACAAAUUGAAGCUAAAAGCUAUUGGCUUCUAUGCAACAGAACCAGAAUUUCCGGCUGAACUACAAGCGCAAGAUGAACCAAAACAGGUUGAGUAACAGAGGAAGUAUACAUGCAGGAAAGAAAAUGAAGCAAUUUUUAAUUCAAUUUAAGGGCAAGCCAGCUGAAGAUGCAACAUGGGAGGAACAGCUAUCAAUUUCCAACUUCAGCCUUCAGGAAAAGGUUGCAUUUACAGCAGGUUUAACGAUACAAUCCAAUACUUUGUUGGGUUGGAAGGAGAACCAGUUAUAUAAGUCCUAAAUAAACUAGCCAUUUGAAAGGUAUACUCAAGAAAGACAUACAAGGUCUCCGAAACUGCAAUGGAGUGCAGUUAUUUUGUGGAAAGAAGUUGCUAGAACAGUUAUUGCAGAAAGAAAUUGCUUUGUAAAGAAGUUAUUGUGAGAGGGGAGAGUUGUUUUCCUUUGUAGUUAUACUCUGUUAUAUAGGAAAAAGCAAUUGUCAGAUGUAUGAGGGGAGAAGUCAUCUCUGCAGGAGCCAGGGCUCCGAUUUUGUAUCUAAAACAGUGUAUUAUUGAAUUCAAUAAAACUCCCUUUUAAAUUC